UACGUAGGGACCGAGCGUUGUCCGGAUUCAUUGGGCGUAAAGAGCUCGUAGGCGGCUGCUCAAGUCGAAUGUGAAAACUCGAGGCUCAACCUCGAGCCUGCAUUCGAUACUGGGCGGCUAGAGUCUGGUAGGGGGAUCUGGAAUUCCUGGUGUAGCGGUGAAAUGCGCAGAUAUCAGGAGGAACAGCCGGUGGCGAAGGCGGGUCUCUGGGCCGAUACUGACGCUGAGGAGCGAAAGCGUGGGGAGCAAACAGG
rnacentral:rRNA from 1 species